UGGUGCUUGCAUCAUGAUUUACAUUUGAGUGAGUGGCGAACUGGUGAGUAACACGUGGGAAACCUGCCCAGAAGCGGGGGAUAACACCUGGAAACAGAUGCUAAUACCGCAUAACAACUUGGACCGCAUGGUCCGAGUUUGAAAGAUGGCUUCGGCUAUCACUUUUGGAUGGUCCCGCGGCGUAUUAGCUAGAUGGUGRGGUAACGGCUCACCAUGGCAAUGAUACGUAGCCGACCUGAGAGGGUAAUCGGCCACAUUGGGACUGAGACACGGCCCAAACUCCUACGGGAGGCAGCAGUAGGGAAUCUUCCACAAUGGACGAAAGUCUGAUGGAGCAACGCCGCGUGAGUGAAGAAGGGUUUCGGCUCGUAAAACUCUGUUGUUAAAGAAGAACAUAUCUGAGAGUAACUGUUCAGGUAUUGACGGUAUUUAACCAGAAAGCCACGGCUAACUACGUGCCAGCAGCCGCGGUAAUACGUAGGUGGCAAGCGUUGUCCGGAUUUAUUGGGCGUAAAGCGAGCGCAGGCGGUUUUUUAAGUCUGAUGUGAAAGCCUUCGGCUCAACCGAAGAAGUGCAUCGGAAACUGGGAAACUUGAGUGCAGAAGAGGACAGUGGAACUCCAUGUGUAGCGGUGAAAUGCGUAGAUAUAUGGAAGAACACCAGUGGCGAAGGCGGCUGUCUGGUCUGUAACUGACGCUGAGGCUCGAAAGUAUGGGUAGCAAACAGGAUUAGAUAC
rnacentral:rRNA from 2 species